rnacentral:rRNA from 1 species
GACGAACGCUGGCGGCGCGCUUAACACAUGCAAGUCGAACGGUAAGGCCCUGCUUUUGUGGGGUGCUCGAGUGGCGAACGGGUGAGUAACACGUGAGUAACCUGCCCUCUACUUUGGGAUAACUUCAGGAAACUGGGGCUAAUACCGGAUAGUAGCUCCUCCUGCAUGGUGGGGGUUGGAAAGUUUCGGUGGUUGGGGAUGGACUCGCGGCUUAUUAGCUUGUUGGUGGGGUAGUGGCUUACCAAGGCUUUGACGGAUAGCCGGCCUGGGAGGGUGAGCGGCGAGAUUGGGACUAGAAUACGGCCCGGAGUACUACGGGGGACAAAAGUGGGGAAGGUGGAAGAAUGGGCGGGAGCCUGAUGGAGAGGCGCGGCGGGCGGGAUGUCGGGCUUCGGGUUGUAACCCGCUUUAGCCGGUAACAAAGCGGGAGUGACGGUAAUGGGUAAAGAAGCGCCGGCUAACUACGUG